rnacentral:rRNA from 1 species
CCAACAGGGAUUGCCCUAGUAACGGCGAGUGAAGCGGCAACAGCUCAAAUUUGAAAGCUAGCCUUCGGGUUCGCAUUGUAAUUUGUAGAGGAUGAUUUGGGGAAGCCGCCUGUCUAAGUUCCUUGGAACAGGACGUCAUAGAGGGUGAGAAUCCCGUAUGUGACAGGAAAUGGCACCCUAUGUAAAUCUCCUUCGACGAGUCGAGUUGUUUGGGAAUGCAGCUCUAAAUGGGAGGUAAAUUUCUUCUAAAGCUAAAUAUUGGCGAGAGACCGAUAGCGCACAAGUAGAGUGAUCGAAAGAUGAAAAGCACUUUGGAAAGAGAGUUAAAAAGCACGUGAAAUUGUUGAAAGGGAAGCGCUUGCAAUCAGACUUGUUUAAACUGUUCGGCCGGUCUUCUGACCGGUUUACUCAGUUUGGACAGGCCAGCAUCAGUUUCGGCGGCCGGAUAAAGGCUCUGGGAAUGUGGCCUCCACUUCGGUGGAGGUGUUAUAGCCCAGGGUGUAAUACGGCCAGCCGGGACUGAGGUCCGCGCUUCGGCUAGGAUGCUGGCGUAAUGGUU